rnacentral:rRNA from 1 species
AUGAACGCUGGCGGCGUGCCUAAUACAUGCACGUCGCGCGAACAGACGAGGAGCUUGCUCCUCUGACGUUAGCGGCGGACGGGUGAGUAACACGUGGAUAACCUACCUAUAAGACUGGGAUAACUUCGGGAAACCGGAGCUAAUACCGGAUAAUAUAUUGAACCGCAUGGUUCAAUAGUGAAAGACGGUUUUGCUGUCACUUAUAGAUGGAUCCGCGCCGCAUUAGCUAGUUGGUAAGGUAACGGCUUACCAAGGCAACGAUGCGUAGCCGGCCUGAGAGGGUGAUCGGCCACACUGGAACUGAGACACGGUCCAGACUCCUACGGGAGGCAGCAGUAGGGAAUCUUCCGCAAUGGGCGAAAGCCUGACGGAGCAACGCCGCGUGAGUGAUGAAGGUCUUCGGAUCGUAAAACUCUGUUAUUAGGGAAGAACAAAUGUGUAAGUAACUAUGCACGUCUUGACGGUACCUAAUCAGAAAGCCACGGCUAACUACGUG